ensembl:lncRNA
GAGAUAUUUAAGUAGCAUGUUGUGUGCCAAGUUUGUGGAGAAUGGGCUGGGUCCUGCUGUUUGACUGGAGUCCCUAGUAAGAGGUCAAAGAAGGGUGGGAAACUGAAAUCAGCUGCGAGGCAUGUGUCUGCCUCUUUCCACUCCCCUAUUCUUGAGUUCGACCCUGGGACAUCCCAUUUACUCCACCCUUUCUGGAUAUUUUUUUUUCCCCCUCUCAAGCUUUCUUCCCUCAUAUUCUGGCAAGCUCCCAAUGUUGAUGUGGCAGUCAGUUAGAUGAGUCUUUUCUGAAAAGAGAGAAAG